GGAGUGCCUCUGCCCGGCCGCCCCAUCUGGGAGGUGUACCCAACAGCCCUGAAGAGACAGCGACCAUCGAGAACAGGCCAUGAUGAUGAUGGUGGUUUUGUCUAAAAGAAAGGGGGAAAUGUGGGGAAAAGAAAGAGAUCAGAUUGUUACUGUGUCUGUGUAGAAAGAAGUAGACAUAGGAGACUCCAUUUUGUUCUGUACUAAGAAAAAUUCUUCUGCCUUGGGAUGCUGUUAAUCUAUAACCUUACCCUGAACCCCAUGCUCUCUGAAACAUGUGCUGUGCCAACUCAGGGUUAAAUGGAUUAAGGGCGGUGCAAGAUGUGCUUUGUUAAACAGAUGCCUGAAGGCAGCAUGCUCGUUAAGUGUCAUCACCACUCCCUAAUCUCAAGGACCCAGGGACACAAACACUGCGGAAGGCCACAGGGACCUCUGCCUAGGAAAACCAGAGACCUUUGUUCACGUGUUUAUCUGCUGACCUUCUCUCCACUAUUAUCCUAUGAUCCUGCCACAUCCGCCUCUCCGAGAAACACCCAAGAAUGAUCAAUAAAUAAAAAAAUAGCUUAAAAAGAGUCACAGAUCUACAUAUAAGAACUAAAAUUACAGGCAGGGUGCAGUGGCUCACGCCUGUAAUCCCAGCACUUUGGGAGGCUGAGGUGGGCAGAUCACAAGGUCAGGACUUCAAGACCAGCCUGGCCAAUGUGGUAAAACCCCAUCUCUACUAAAAAUACAAAAAUUAGCCAGGCAUGGUGGCGUGCGCCUAUAGUCCCAGGUACUUGGGAGGCUGAGGCAUAAGAAUUGCUUGAACCCGGGAGGCGGAGAUUGCAGUUAGCUGAGCUCAUGCCACUGUACUCCAGCCUGGGCAACCAAGUGAGACUCCAUUCCAAAAAAAUUAAAAACCUAAAAUUACAACAUGUUUAGAAGAAAAUAAUCCUGUGACCCUGGAUUAUGUGGAGUCCUAAUUAGGGAAAAGGAAUCAGGCUGGUGGGAUUGAGGGAAAGCAACAAGAAAAAGCAGAUAAGCUAUAAGUUUUCCUUUCUUCAUGGUCCAGGACACACAGCCCUCCUGAGCAAAUAACUCACAAUCUUCCUGCACCCAGCUAUCACCAGACCCUCAGCUGAUAGAAAAAUGCAAUUUAGUUCACUGCAACGUUGGUGUUAUCAGUAUACACAAAGCCCUCUUCAGUACACAGCACAAGCGCCAUCCUAUAAAAUCCCCAGCAGGCCUUUGUUUCCUUGCAGUUACCUCCACACUUGCUAACUUGCCCAUUGCUUCCUUGCAACAUAUUUUCCUACUUUCUCUAAUAAAUCAGCCUUUCUUAACCUACAACUGUCUUGGUAAAUUCUUUGAACCAUCACGCCACCAGCCCCAGAUAGUCACCACUCACCCAUGACAUUUUGGUGGCCCAUAUAAGGACUCUCUCUCCUUACAGGGAAUCCUCUCCAUUCUCUUUCCCAACUUGUGAUCCUUGGUGGCCAACAUCUGAGCACAGAGACAACUAAAGGUCUCUGGCCAGACCUACACUCCAGUGGGACUGACAGGUGUCCAUGUGGAAGCGUUUGACCCACCACCAGGUUCAGGUGAAGGAC
rnacentral:lncRNA from 1 species